rnacentral:rRNA from 1 species
GACAGAGGUCCCGAGCGUUGUUCGGAUUCAUUGGGCGUAAAGGGUGUGUAGGAGGCUAGGUAAGUCAGGUGUGAAAUCUCACAGCUUAACUGUGAAACUGCGCUUGAUACUGCUUGGCUAGAGGAUCGGAGGGGGUAACGGAAUUCAUGGUGUAGCAGUGAAAUGCGUAGAUAUCAUGAGGAACACCGGUGGCGAAGGCGGUUACCUGGAAGAUUCCUGACUCUGAAACACGAAAGCCAGGGGAGCAAACGGG